UGAGGAAUAUUGGUCAAUGGGCGCGAGCCUGAACCAGCCAAGUAGCGUGAAGGAUGACUGCCCUACGGGUUGUAAACUUCUUUUAUAAAGGAAUAAAGUGAGGCACGUGUGCCUUUUUGUAUGUACUUUAUGAAUAAGGAUCGGCUAACUCCGUGCCAGCAGCCGCGGUAAUACGGGGGAUCCGAGCGUUAUCCGGAUUUAUUGGGUUUAAAGGGAGCGUAGGUGGAUUGUUAAGUCAGUUGUGAAAGUUUGCGGCUCAACCGUAAAAUUGCCGUUGAAACUGGGAGGCUUGAGUAUGUUUGAGGCAGGCGGAAUGCGUGGUGUAGCGGUGAAAUGCUUAGAUAUCACGAAGAACUCCGAUUGCGAAGGCAGCUUACUAAACUGCCACUGACAUUGAUGCUCGAAAGUGUGGGUAUCAAACAGG
rnacentral:rRNA from 1 species